rnacentral:rRNA from 1 species
GACGAACGCUGGCGGCGUGCUUAACACAUGCAAGUCGAGCGGCGCGGCGAACGGGUGAGUGACGCAUGAGUAACUGGCCCCCUACCUGGGAUCACGGUUGGAAACGGCUGCUAAUAACGGAUAGUGGGGGAUGCCUCGCGUCCUAUAAGCUUGUUGGUGGGGUAGUGGCCUACCAAGGCGACGACGGGUAGCAGGACUGAGCAGGCGACCGGCAACAUUGGGCUGAGAUACGGACCCAACGCCUACGGGAUGCAACAGUGGGUAAGAUUGCACAAUGGGGGAACCCCUGAUGAAGCACCGCCGCGUGCGGGAUGACGGCCUUCGGGUUGUAAACCGCUUCCAGCCAUGACGCGGUAGUGGCAGAAGAAGCACCGGCUAACUACGUGCCAGCAGCCGCGGUAAUUC